ACCCAGGUCUGUAAUGAUGCCUCUAGCACUGCGAUGCAAUGCCUUAGACCGCUGCGCCAUUCGGGAGAAAACUAGCGAACGGACCCUUUGGGAUGCCAGGGAGGAUGCCGACCAAGGAUGCCAGGGAGCUGCUACAUGUCCGUCAUAAGGUGGUGGUAAUGACCAAAGCCUUCAGUCUACAAGCCAUAGACCUGGUCUCGAUAGACUACAAGGACGGAGGUCUACAACAGCUGGCCAUGGGCUUCACAUGGGCUUCACAGCUAAGCAGGUGUUCCAUCCCAAACAGGUCCAGGCCAUGCAGGAAGAGUUCUCCUCCAGUCAGGAGAGGGUCUAGUCGGCUUCAUUUCUUCAUUUGACGAGCACCAGGAGCAGGGAAAGAUACAUUUUUUGUGUUUAUUAAUUUUGUCUUUAUGUCAUUCCAUAAGACAAUAUAGAAAAAUUCACAGGAUGACAUCUGUGCAUAAGUGCAUUAAAAUACACAUUACAAGAUGCUUCACACUAUGCCAUUACAGUAUGUGUAAACGAAUCAAAAGAAUCAAACACAUAUCAUAUCAUUUUUGUUAGACAGUGAUAUACCAGGGGUCAGCAAUAUCUGCUCUAUGACAUUUCUACUUACUGUCUCUCUCUUUGUACACACACACACACACACACCACACGCAUGCGCAAACACACACACACUUAAUUGUUAAUGUCCUUUUCGUUAUACACCCCAGUGUGGCACUGCAGAGUCAGUACAGUAUA